CGCACCCCCUCACCGAAUCCUCACCGAGCUGAGUGGAGAGCCCUCGGACAAACGCCGAGAAGGUCUCAGCGCUCCGAGAAAAAAAGGGGGGCAGUCGGCGUGACGUCACUUCCGCUUCCGGCUCGGAGCUAUCGGCCACGUUGGAGCCCUUCAGGCCAGGGAGAAAAGCUUGUUUGUUCCCGCGUCUGGGCGGUUGCACCCUUCUUCGGGUGGGCUCGUAAGGGGAGUAGAGACUGGAAAAGAGCCGAGAGGUCGAGCCAUGUUGCAUAAUCUGCCAACCCAGGAAAAAUGAUCCGUCUGGUCCCUUCAGUCACGGCCGUCUCCAGACACCUUUUUGCGGACGUGUCUUUGUGUGCCUCUGGACACCGUGCCGACACCUCGGUCGUUGAUUCUGAUGUGGUUUUACAAUAAAGGCACAACCCCCACCACCACCCAGGGCUCAAUUUGUAAAGCCCCUGCCUAGCAUGCACGAAGCCCUGGAAUCCAUCUCCAGCACCGUGAGAUGGUGCCCGCCUGUCAUCUCAGUGCUUGGGAGAUGGAGACGAGAGGUUCAAGGCCAGCCUCCGCUACAUAGUAAAUUCGAAGCAAGCCUGGGAUACAUGAAACCCUGUCUCCGAAACAAAAUAAAAAUGGUCUUUCUGUAAA